rnacentral:rRNA from 1 species
UACAGAGGUCCCGAGCGUUGUUCGGAUUCACUGGGCGUAAAGGGUGCGUAGGUGGCGAGGUAAGUCGGAUGUGAAAGCUCAGAGCUCAACUCCGAAAUGGCAUUGGAAACUACCUUGCUCGAGGGUUGGAGGGGGGACUGGAAUGCUUGGUGUAGCAGUGAAAUGCGUAGAUAUCAAGCGGAACACCAGUGGCGAAGGCGAGUCCCUGGACAACUCCUGACACUGAGGCACGAAAGCUAGGGGAGCAAACAGG